UACCGAAGCUACGGAUUUAUAACAUCUGUUAUGAGUGGUAGGGGAGCGUUCCAUACUGGGAUGAAGUCAGAUCGUGAGGACUGGUGGACUGUAUGGAAGUGAGAAUGCCGGCGUGAGUAUCGAUUGGAGGUGAGAAUCCUCCACGCCGAUUGAGCAAGGUUUCCUGGGGAAGGUUCGUCCUCCUAGGGUUAGUCGGGACCUAAGGCGAGGCCGAAAGGCGUAGUCGAUGGACAACAGGUUGAUAUUCCUGUACCGGCGUAUAGAGGGAUGGAAUGACGGAGAAGGCUAGGCAAAGCAUGCGAUCGGAAGUGCAUGUCCAAGCAGAUGAGGUGUCAGUGUAGGAAAAUCCGCACUGUGUAACAUUGAGCUGUGAUGGGGAGUGAACCCUUCGGGUAUUAGCGAAGUUGCUGACGUCACGCUUCCAAGAAAAGUUUCUACUAUAUCUAUACGUUGCCCGUACCCAUAACCAACACUGGUGCUCAAGGAGAAUAUCCUAAGGCGAGCGAGAUAAUUGUAGCUAAGGAACUCGGCAAAAUGACCCCGUACGUUCGCAAUAAGGGGUGCUGGCUUCGGCCAGCCGCAGAAAAGAGGUCCAGCCAACUGUUUAUCAAAAACACAGCUCUCUGCCAAAGCGUAAGCUGAAGUAUAGGGGGUGACGCCUGCCCGGUGCCUGAAGGUUAAGGGAACCUGUUAGCAUUCUUUGCGAAGCAGUGAACUGAAGCCCAGGUGAACGGCGGCUGUAACUAUAACGGUCCUAAGGUAGCGAAAUUCCUUGUCGGGUAAGUUCCGACCUGCACGAAUGGAGUAACGAUUUCCCUACUGUCUCCACUACGAACUCGGUGAAAUUGCAGUACGAGUAAAGAUGCUCGUUACGCGCAGCAGGACGGAAAGACCCCGGGACCUUUACUAUAGUUUGGUAUUGGUGAUUGGGAUGAUUUGUGUAGGAUAGGUGGGAGACGUUGAUGCGGCCACGCUAGUGGUGGUGGAGUCGUUGGUGAAAUACCACUCUGAUUGUUCUGGUUAUCUCACUGUGGACCGUGAUCCGGUUCAAGGACAGUGCCUGAUGGGUAGUUUGACUGGGGCGGUCGCCUCCUAAAGGGUAACGGAGGCGCCCAAAGGUUCCCUCAGCCUGGUUGGUAAUCAGGUGGUGAGUGUAAGUGCACAAGGGGGCUUGACUGUGAGACUGACAGGUCGAGCAGGGACGAAAGUCGGGCUUAGUGAUCCGGUGGUUCCGCAUGGAAGGGCCAUCGCUCAACGGAUAAAAGCUACCCCGGGGAUAACAGGCUUAUCUCCCCCAAGAGUCCACAUCGACGGGGAGGUUUGGCACCUCGAUGUCGGCUCGUCGCAUCCUGGGGCUGGAGUCGGUCCCAAGGGUUGGGCUGUUCGCCCAUUAAAGCGGUACGCGAGCUGGGUUCAGAACGUCGUGAGACAGUUCGGUCCCUAUCCGUCGCGGGCGUUGGAAAUUUGAGAGGAGCUGUCCUUAGUACGAGAGGACCGGGAUGGACGUACCUCUGGUGUGCCAGUUGUCCCGCCUGGGGCAUGGCUGGUUGGCUACGUACGGAAGG
rnacentral:rRNA from 1 species